rnacentral:rRNA from 1 species
ACGAACGCUGGCGGCGUGCUUCACACCUGCAAGUCGAACGGAAAGGCCCUGCUUUUGUGGGGUGCUCGAGUGGCGAACGGGUGAGUAACACGUGAGUAACCUGCCCUUGACUUUGGGAUAACUUCAGGAAACUGGGGCUAAUACCGGAUAGGAGCUCCUGCUGCAUGGUGGGGGUUGGAAAGUUUCGGCGGUUGGGGAUGGACUCGCGGCUUAUCAGCUUGUUGGUGGGGUAGUGGCUUACCAAGGCUUUGACGGGUAGCCGGCCUGAGAGGGUGACCGGCCACAUGGGGACUGAGAUACGGCCCAGACUCCUACGGGAGGCAGCAGGGGGGAAUUUGGCAAAAGGGGCGGAAGCCGGAGGAAGCAACGCCGCGGGCGGGAUGACGGCCUUCGGGUUGUAAACCGCUUUCGCCUGGGACGAAGCGUGAGUGACGGUAAUGGGAAAAGAAGCACCGGCUAACUACGU